rnacentral:lncRNA from 1 species
AGUUUUGGAAUUUAAAUUUUGAUUAAAAGUUUAAUUUUGAUAUAUAUUUAAAUUCUAAACCCUAAGUUUUUGAAAUGUCUCAAAACUUGUCCUCAAGUUUUGGAAUUUAAAUUUUGAUUAAAAGUUUAAUCUAGGAAUGUUAAAUUCUAAAACCCUAGUAGUGUUUUGAAAAAGUUCAUAUCACACCCUUAUGGUUUUAUUAAUUAAUUAAGGUGUAUAAUUAAAAUAGGUUUAAUAAAUCCAUAAAAGUUUUGGUUUACAAUUUAAUUGAAUUAAAAGUAUAAUUGUUAAAUUUGACAACCUAGUAUUUUAAAAGUGUAAAAUACACACUAUACUAUAUCUAACAUUAAAAGUCUAACAUUAUAUAUAUGUAUGAGUAAAAGUCAGUCUUACCGUUAGUAGGCCUCAUUCACGAAGCUGGUCUAUAAGGGGUGUUUAAGGAAAUUGCCUAUAAAAUGGCGAUUGAAUGGGUAUCCACUCUUACCCACCGCACUCUUGACUAGUGGAGGGUCGUUAGCCGAACGGGUAGGAUAGGACGAAACCUUCCAUUAUAAGUAUAAUGAAGUAUAAAAGUAACUAAAUGUUUUCAUAAAAUUCCCAAUCUUAGUUACUUAGGCAAAAGUGAAUUGAUGCAAUUCCAUGAAAUUACACUUUGUGCCCUUGCGAAGACGUUAGUGGAGCGUGUGUGGUUUACCGGCACACUAAAUGGUUCUAAGCAAAGGUAGCAAAGGGUGACUCAAUGUUUGUCAUAGUUCGGUGGAGCGUGUGUGGUUUACCGGCACAUCGAAUAGGUGACUGUAACAUGUGAGGGCACCAUGUAAGUUUGCAUGGUUAUUCACACCCGCUUUGUGAUCCUCGGCAUCCCAGUCACAAACAAGAGGGGCAUAUCGAGAUUUAAACAUGCCAUUGAAAGUUCAAUGAAUCUCAAAGGAUCUAGGAGUUUUCAUAGAUUUAAAACUUAAAUUUCUUUUUCGUUUUUCGUGGUGGAAAUUAGUGAAUCGUCAUUCACUUACCUUCAAAUAUUCUGCAAUUAGGGUUACGGCAUCCCUCUCCCGAGUUGUAGAAUAUUGUGUUGGGUCCUAGCCUUAGUAUCUCAUUUGGGUGAUUUACUAAGGACUCAAUCAAUCAACUAACUUGAAUUCGUUUUCUCCCGUUUUGUAGAUGUCAAAGUUCGACAACUAUGGUCUUCCCAAAUCCCGUGGAACAAGCAUUCCACAUGAAGAUGAUAUUCCACGAUUCGAUCGAGGAACAAGAAAUCAUGCUUCACUUCCUCCACCUCCUCCAAUUAUUCUCCCUAACCCACAAGUUCAAAGGCUUGAAAAGUUCAAGAUCACUCAAGCCCUUUUGGCAAGUAAACAUAAAGAAGGAAAGUCGGUGUGUGCACACGUCCUAGGGAUGAAGUCACACAUUGAUAGGUUAAGAAUGUUGGGAUCCGUUGUCUGUGAGGAAAUGGCUGUUGAUUGGGUUCUUCAGUCACUUCCUAACUCAUAUAGUGAGUUCGUAAGAGAGUACUAUAUGAUGAACCGCGACGUGACCCUUAUAGAUCUCACCUAUAUGCUUAUUGCUGCUGAAUCAGCAAUGGUUUGGCGCAAUAGAAAAGCAAAGUUGAUUGGUGAAUCUGCCUUCAAGACCUCUAUGGAUAUAGACAAUGGCAACGAAAGACAUGCUAUGAUCGAAAAGUUUGAUCAUAAGAGAAAGGCAAUGUCUGAAGUAGUUCCAUGUCAUGUUCCAAAAGAGUCAAUUUGCUUUUAUUGCCAAGAGAAAGGGCAUUGGAGACGAAGCUGCCCCAUUUACCUAAGAGAUCUAAGAGAUGGGAGAGUCGAAACGUAUGGCUCUAAUAUAGGUAAAAUCCAUUAACUAACUCUUUUAAGCUUCUAUUCUAGAUUCUUAAUACAUAAUGUGAUAAGAUUACAAUUGAUGUUUUGUAGGAUCGAAGAAAAGAAAGGAAGCUUAAGGGAAGAAGUGAGCAGAAUCUAACCGUGAAGGAAUGGAUUUCGAUCGCAUUUCUCGAAGAUUAGAUUCUUGAGCUACUACUUAGAGUUAGAAUUAGAUUGCUAAGAAAGAUGUAUUAGCAUAGUUUUUCAAUGAAUUGCAUUGUAAGGACAAAAUUUUUCCGCAAUAAAAUAAAUUUUGAUUUUAUAUUAUUUAUUUAUCCUUGCAAUGGCGUAUAUGAAAAAUUGAUGUUUGAAUGUUUCUAUUAUUAGCAAUAAUGGAUUUGGUUCUUAUUAUGUUAUUUAUGGAAAGUCGAGAAUUUACCAAAUAGGGAGAGUUUCUCAUCGCCCAAGUUUCAAUUGGACAGAAACUUGGAAUCAUGCAACUUGGUUGCACGAUGAAUGAGAAAUUUCAUAUUUGGAAAUUAGACUAAUUCAUUGACAAAGUGUCAAGUGAAGGACUAGGAGAUCGAGUACACAAAGUUGCGUGUUGAUCAAGUCCACCAUAAGAGUAACAAAGAUAUUCGUCAUGAUUUACUAAAGGUUUAGUAAAUAUGAUUAUACUUACAAGAUUAAGUGUAAUUCUGAAUUGAUUAAAGGGUUUAAAUCAAUAGCAGAACGAAUAAGAAGAAUCAAGUAGGCAGAAAGAUAAAAGUUUCUCCAUUCUAAGAAGAAGGGAGAGUACCUUUUAUGCUUUAUGAUAGGUCUUAAUGAUUAAGAACCAUAUCUCAAUUGAUCCUCUAAGUGAGUCUUAGUACAAUUGUAUGUCUAAGAAGAGGAAUCAAGAAUUGAAGAAAUGGUUAAAUCAAGAAGUCAAUCAUACUUCGUUCCAAUAACAAGUCUUAAAGUUAAGAUUGUGACAUUGAGUGAAAAGUAUUAAGAAGGUUUAUAACUUUCAUCAAAUGUGGAAAGUUGUGAUGUCUUGGAUAAGACAAAGACCAACUAGGACCAAUUUAUGAAGUGUUUUGAUAAAAGCUACACUAACUCUUGAAUAUUUGUUUGUCAAGAAAUGGUUAUUGACAAGAGAAUCUUAUAUGUCAAGGAGUCAGUGGGAGUCUUAAUGGUCUUGAAAGGUUUCAAGAACAAAUCAAAUAAACCUUAUCGAUCAUCACUAGCACACGAGUUGAGGUUUACAACCUAUCGUGUUGACAUUAUUUUGAUUCUGUGCCAAUCCAAUCGAGUUAAUUAUGCAUGUGAGUUCUAUGAGUUCUCAUUUUGAACGCAUAAAAGGCAAAGCACCUUAAUCAAUGAAAGGUACAUUGAUAGGAAAGGGUGAGCUGCUUAACUACUUGGAAGACAUGGUGGGCAGCUGUGCUACCAUAAGGCAAGAAAUCAAGAUUAAGAAAGUUCGGUCCAUAUGAGUUUGAAUUUGUCGUAAACUUUGGUUUUAACAAAUUCACAUGGAUAGGAACACAUACACCGUUUAAAUCUAAGUGUCAUAAGAUUUCCUCCUUCAUGAAAAUGAUUGUGAGGAAAUGCUUUCACUAAGAAAGAUUUUAAGAAGAUAGUGAUUGUAAAAUUGCAUUCUCGAAUUCGAUUAUGGUUACGGUAUCCCUUUCCAUAAUUUGAAUUGUGAGGUUUGGCAAUUAGUCUUAAUUGUUUAGACACACAUAUGAACUAUCGAAGGCAAAGGUGUAUAAGUUCAAGAAGCCUUGAUAAAAGAUUAUCAAAGCACUAAGUAUUAGAAACAUGAACUUAAGAAAUUCAAUAAGUAUUGUUUUUCUGAAAGUUAAGAUGUUUAUGAAUACAUGUCGAAGCUAGUGGGAGCAUAAGUGUUAUGUUUUAUAAUAAUCAUCAUGAUAGUGGGAGCAUAAAUGUUAUGAUUGUAUGAUUAUUAAGGCACGUAUUGCAAGUUGGCAAUAUUAAUUAUAGAAAACAAGAGUUAUACCUUGCAAAGUCGUAAGGGUUGAAAAGUUGUUUUGCUAUAAUUAAGGGAGAGAAUAUUAUGCUUCAUUUCAAAUCUAAAGGAUUAGGUUGAGAAAUGUUAAUAAAUUUAGUCAAAGGUACAUAGUGUGUUCUUAAAAUUUCGAUUAUGAUUACGACAUUCCUCUUCACAAUUCGAAUUUUGAGAACAUAGCAAAUAAAACAUUAUGCGUCGUGUCCCAUACGCUUCGGGUAUAGGAUCGAUUGCAAAUGCUUUAAUGUUUGACCAUUCUAAAAUUUUCCAAAUGUCUAGCGCAUUUAGAGGGAAAAAGGACUAGAAUCGGUUUUGACUAAAAUAAUUAAACAACUAUCAAAGGACAAUCCAAAGUUCGACGAGGAUUGGUCGCUUGUGAGUAGUUGGAAGUAUAGUAUUGGAAAAUAUGGAAAUGUUUCCAUAUUGGAUGGACCAUAUCGACAUUAUUAUGAAUAGAUAAGAUUCUAUUAAGAAUGAGUUGUCAUAUGGAAAAUAUGGAAACGUGUCCAUAUUGGGAAUUGAAUAUUGAAAAUCUAUGUCUAGAUUAGAAACUUUUAUGCAAAAGGAUGUUCAAAGGAAUGUACUUUGAGUGAGAGACAUCAUAUCUAAGGAAUUGUCUUGUAACAAUCUCCGAUAGAGGACUUUGUAAUAUCAUUGGCAAUAGUCUUUGUGACUUUGGUGCAGUGACAUUACGAAAGGAUCAUUGCAUAAAAUGUUAGAAUCUAGCAUAUUCUAUAAGUAGCAAGAAUUUGAUAUUCUUUCACUUAUGAAAAAGGAUUUGGAGUUGUGAAAUGAGAAUGAUUGGAAAUGUGUUCAAUUUGAUCUAUUUCACAAAGUAAGAACCAUAGGUAAACAUUGUGUGCAUGCUAGGAGCAUGGGACAAGUGUAAUAAUUCAAGUAAGAAGUUGAUUACCCGAAACGACAAAUAAUGAGUAAUCGAUAUGGUGAUAAAUAAAAGGUGUUUUAUUUAUACUCAAAGGUUUGAGGCCAUAUGGGAUUAGUAUUAUUCUUGUGUUUCACUUUGCAUGUUUUGACUUCCUGAAUAAUUUAAUUGGUUAAGAACAGUCAAAUUAUUCGAACGGGCCACAGUCGUUCAUAUGUUGGAAGUAGGUAUGAAUGAAGACUGUCGUGAAUUGGUGUGUGGAUUGUCUAAAGAGUAUUAGACAUAAGCAAAUGUUUGCUGCAACGUUCAUGAGUGCUUAUGAAUAUGAUUUGAGCAUUGGAUUAAACCCACGCUCACUUGGAUCACUCCAUGAAUUGUAUCACGAGUGAUUGGUGAGACGAUAACAUCUUAUAUUCUUGAAACCGAGAUGUGUGAGUUGUAUCUUGCAAAUCGGUUGCACAUUGAUAAUAUGUAAACGCACUAGUAACUUGGUGUUAUAAAACAUAUUGUUGUGUGUGAUUCGGUGAGUGAGUGCAAGCAAGCAUUGUAUCAAAGUUUAUCCGUUCCUUUUAUCCAAAGUAGGAUAAAAGCGAUAUCUUUGGGCCCCUCGAUGAUUUAGUGAUGACAAACGUAAAUGCUCGGCCGGGCUAGGGCUAAUUUGAUUUGUUCAAUUAGUCAGUCGUCAUAAAUCGGGAAUCGAGAUAUAGUACAAAGAGAAUGAUUUGAAAUCAUAUCUCAUAUGAUAUCUAGAAUGGAGGAAUAUAUGAUCCCUUAUCUAAGGACACGCGUAUCUGAUAGGAUCAGAGUUGACAGCGGCUUUGGAAAGCUACGAUUGCAGAUCAGGAUCUGAAGUCAUACGCAGAAUAGUUAUUAGACUUAUCCAAGUGGGAGACUGUUGGAUUAGUGUCUAAGUCCAUAACUAUUUUGGUAUGUACUUGACCCGAUGGUGCAUGGUCCUUUUGGGUUGCCUUCACCAAAGCAACUUGAUAGGAUGAAUUAUGGAGAGAAAGGAUUAAAUAUGAUUUAUUAAUAUAUUAUGAGAAUAAUAUAUUAAAGGAGAAAUCAUAUUGUUUAAUUAAUAUUAGUCAAUAAUUAAUUGGUAAUUAGUUUUGUGACUAAAAGAGAUUAAUUAAACUUAAGGGACUGGAAUUGUAAUUAUAAGAUAAUUGCAAUUUGGGCCAUGGAUUGUCUUAAAUCAAGAGGUGGACGAAUUCUUAUGGGAAGCCCAUAAGGAAAUCGUCCAAGGGCUUGAUUAAAGGAGUCUAUGGGUUGCUUAGGGCUUAAGCAACCAAAUUAGGGUUUCCUUGUUAGAUAACCCUAAUAGCCUCACUAUAUAUAGAACCCUUAAGGCUCAAAAACGUGGGGAACUUCUUUUCUAGGGUUAGAACACGUUUUGGGCAGCCUCCAUCCUCUCUCCUCUUCAUCCUCUUGCUUAUGGUGUUUGUAAGCCAUUAGAGGAGUGACACUUGUGACUCUAAGCCUUCCAAAGUCAAUUCAAGGAGGAAUUGGGAUUGUUAUUGCUACAUAACAAUCAAGGUAAUAUCUUAAACCUAAUUAUAUGUUAAUAUUGAUUUCCAUAUGCUAGAAUUAGGGUUUAUAGUCUUGGAUUCAAAGCAUGUACAAUAGAGAAACCUAGAUCCAAGCAUUAGGGUUUGUAUGAGCACAUAGGAUGUCUUAUGACCAAAACCCAUCAGUGGUAUCAGAGCCUAGCUUGGUUUCAAUUGUAUUGAUGCAUUGUAUAUCUGGAAAAUUCGUUUUUUGGGUUUCUGGAGGCUGGACUCGCCGAGUCCAUAGCUGAACUCGCCGAGUCCAUGCAGACUCGACGAGUCCAAGGCUGACUCGACGAGUCAACUCGUCAGAUGGAGGGUAUUUCGGGAUUUCUUGCUGUUUUUGCUUAUGGAUAGUUACCUUAUCAUGUUAGAUCAAUAUUAAUCCGAUUAUAUGAUAUAUUUGACUAUAUUUUUGAUCUAAUUGAAGAUAUUUAUCAAUUAAUAAGAUAAUUGUUUCCUUAUGUGAUAAUUGAUUAAUUAUUUUGAUUAAAUUGAUAAAUUGUUUUGCAAGAAAUCAUUAAAUAAAUCAAAUAUGGAUAAUUAUGUGAUUAAAUGUUAAUUUAGAUUAUUUGUUAUUUGAUCCUUGUUGUUAUGAAAAGUUUCAUAUUUUCCCCUUUAGGUUUUAUAGUUUAAAUUUGAACCCAAAAGUUUUGUUGUUUUGAAAUUUAAAUAGUUGAAACCCUAAUGUUUUGAAAAAGGUUUCAAAACUUGCCCUCAAGUUUUGGAAUUUAAAUUUUGAUUAAAUAGUUUAAUUUUGAUGUAUAUUUAAAUUCUAAACCCUAAUGUGUUGAAAUGUUUCAAAACUUGCCCUCAAGUUUUGGAAUUUAAAAGUUGAUUAAAAGUUUAAUUAGGAAUGUUAAAUUCUAAAACUCUAGUAUUGUUUUGAAAAAGUUCAAAUCACACCCUUAUGGUUUUAUUAAUUAAUUAAGGUGUAUAAUUAAAAGAGGUUUAAUAAAUCCAUAAAAGUUUUGGUUUACAAUUUAAUUGAAUUAAAAGUAUAAUUGUUAAAUUUGACCACCUAGUAUUUUAAAAG